rnacentral:rRNA from 1 species
UACGAAGGGGGCUAGCGUUGCUCGGAUUGACUGGGCGUAAAGGGCGCGUAGGCGGUUCGUACAGUCAGACGUGAAAUUCCUGGGCUCAACCUGGGGGCUGCGUUUGAUACGUGCGGACUUGAGUGCGGAAGAGGGUCGUGGAAUUCCCAGUGUAGAGGUGAAAUUCGUAGAUAUUGGGAAGAACACCAGUGGCGAAGGCGGCUUACUGGUCCGGUACUGACGCUGAGGUGCGAAAGCGUGGGGAGCAAACAGG